CAGCACAGUAUGUCUUGUUGGUAGUUGCUGUCUUGGUGCAUUCGCUGACACUAGUGUUGGAACUGAAGCGCAAAAUGACAGCGUCUACGCUUGCAGUGAAUAGUUGACGCACGAUCGUCGGCCACUGAGCGUGGGUAAUCCCUGUAAAGUAGCGGUGGCAGUAUGUCGUGUUGAUGGUUGCUGUCUCGGAGAGUUCUCCCAUAGUACUACUGAAAUCGUUGUCAAUGGACGCGCACCAGACGAUGUAUGCCUGGUCGUCACGACUGCGAUGCUUCGAGAGAACUUGCAACUCGAAUCGCCUCUAGUACCACACCGACAACUGUAUCGUCUGCUGCGUCGACGAAAUAUGACAUUCAACGGCCCACAAGUUCAAGAAGAGUGUACUGCAAAGCGUUUAUUCAUGAUGCUGAAUAAAAGAGUCCAGUGGCGGUC
rnacentral:lncRNA from 1 species